rnacentral:rRNA from 1 species
AGCUAGUUGGUGAGGUAAUGGCUCACCAAGGCUAUGACGGGUAGGCGGUGUGAGAGCAUGACCGCCGACAAAGGAACUGAGACACGGUCCUUACUCCUACGGGAGGCAGCAGUCGAGAAUCUUCCACAAUGGGCGAAAGCCUGAUGGAGCGACGUCGCGUGCAGGAUGAAGGUCUUCGGAUUGUAAACUGCUUUUAGCUGGGAAGAAGUCCGAUGCAAAUCGGACUGACGGUACCAGCGGAAUAAGGGGCGGCUAACUCUGUGCCAGCAGCAGCGGUAAUACAGAGACCCCGAGCGUUAUCCGAAAUUAUUGGGCGUAAAGGGUCCGUAGGCGGCCUUGUUAGUCCUCUGUUAAAUUUCAGAGCUCAACUCUGAACUUGCGGGGGAAACGGCAAGGCUAGAGAGCGUGAGAGGCUAGUGGAACUCACGGUGUAGGGGUGAAAUCCGUUGAUAUCGUGGGGAACACCAAAGGCGAAGGCAUCUAGCUGGCGCGACUCUGACGCUGAGGGACGAAAGCGUGGGCAUCGAAUGGGAUUAGAUACCCCAGUAGUCCACGCCGUAAAUGUUGGAGACUAGCUGUCUGAAGUGUCGACCCUUCAGGUGGCGAAGCUAACGCGUUAAGUCUCCCGCCUGGGAAGUACGGCCGCAAGGCUAAAACUCAAAGGAAUAGACGGGAAUUUGCACAAGCGGUGGACCAUGUGGUUUAAUUCGUCAACAAACGAAGAACCUUACCAGGGCUUGAAAUUCAAGUGAAACCCUGCGGAAACGCGGGGAUAUUCUUACAAGGACACUUGGACAGGUGGUGCACGGCCGUUGUCAGCAUGUGGCGUGAGCUGCUCCCUUAAAUGGGUUAACAUGCGCAACCCCUACUGUCUGUUAUUUAUAUGUCAGGCAGGACUGCCCGCGUUCAGUGGGAGGAAGGUGGGGACGACACCAGGUCAGCGUGCCCCUUUGAUGCCCUGGGCGACACACGUGGUACAAUGGGUGAUACAAUGCGUUGCCAAGCCGUAAGGCGGAGCCAAUCGCAUCAAAAGCACCCUCAAUUCGGAUCGAGGUCUGAAACUCGACCUCGUGAAGCCGGAAUCGCUAGUAUCGCAGGUCAGCCAUACUGCGGUGAAUACGUUCUCAAGUUUUGUACUCACCGCCCGUCACAUCAGGGAAGUCGGUAAUACCCGAAGCCCCCCGACUAAAAUUGGAGGUCUACGGUAAGAUCGGUAAUCAGGAUGAAGUCGUAACAAGGCAUCGGUAGCGGAAGCUGUCAAUG